GAUGAACGCUGGCGGCGUGCCUAAUACAUGCAAGUCGAGCGAACAGACGAGGAGCUUGCUCCUCUGACGUUAGCGGCGGACGGGUGAGUAACACGUGGAUAACCUACCUAUAAGACUAGGAUAACUUCGGGAAACCGGAGCUAAUACCGGAUAAUAUAUUGAACCGCAUGGUUCAAUAGUGAAAGACGGUUUUGCUGUCACUUAUAGAUGGAUCCGCGCCGCAUUAGCUAGUUGGUAAGGUAACGACUUACCAAGGCAACGAUGCGUAGCCGACCUGAGAGGGUGAUCGGCCACACUGGAACUGAGACACGGUCCAGACUCCUACGGGAGGCAGCAGUAGGGAAUCUUCCGCAAUGGGCGAAAGCCUGACGGAGCAACGCCGCGUGAGUGAUGAAGGUCUUCGGAUCGUAAAACUCUGUUAUUAGGGAAGAACAAAUGUGUAAGUAACUAUGCACGUCUUGACGGUACCUAAUCAGAAAGCCACGGCUAACUACGUG
rnacentral:rRNA from 1 species